GAUGAACGCUGGCGGCGUGCCUAAUACCUGCAAGUCGAGCGAACAGACGAGGAGCUUGCUCCUCUGACGUUAGCGGCGGACGGGUGAGUAACACGUGGAUAACCUACCUAUAAGACUGGGAUAACUUCGGGAAACCGGAGCUAAUACCGGAUAAUAUAUUGAACCGCAUGGUUCAAUAGUGAAAGACGGUUUUGCUGUCACUUAUAGAUGGAUCCGCGCCGCAUUAGCUAGUUGGUAAGGUAACGGCUUACCAAGGCAACGAUGCGUAGCCGACCUGAGAGGGUGAUCGGCCACACUGGAACUGAGACACGGUCCAGACUCCUGCGGGAGGCAGCAGUAGGGAAUCUUCCGCAAUGGGCGAAAGCCUGACGGAGCAACGCCGCGUGAGUGAUGAAGGUCUUCGGAUCGUAAAACUCUGUUAUUAGGGAAGAACAAAUGUGUAAGUAACUAUGCACGUCUUGACGGUACCUAAUCAGAAAGCCACGGCUAACUACGUG
rnacentral:rRNA from 1 species